CAUUCACGGAGAGUUUGAUCCUGGCUCAGGACGAACGCUGGCGGCGUGCUUAACACAUGCAAGUCGAACGAUGAAGCCCUUCGGGGUGGAUUAGUGGCGAACGGGUGAGUAACACGUGGGCAAUCUGCCCUGCACUCUGGGACAAGCCCUGGAAACGGGGUCUAAUACCGGAUAUGACCAUCUUGGGCAUCCUUGAUGGUGUAAAGCUCCGGCGGUGCAGGAUGAGCCCGCGGCCUAUCAGCUUGUUGGUGAGGUAACGGCUCACCAAGGCGACGACGGGUAGCCGGCCUGAGAGGGCGACCGGCCACACUGGGACUGAGACACGGCCCAGACUCCUACGGGAGGCAGCAGUGGGGAAUAUUGCACAAUGGGCGAAAGCCUGAUGCAGCGACGCCGCGUGAGG
rnacentral:rRNA from 1 species